rnacentral:rRNA from 1 species
CAGGUGGUGCAUGGUUGUCGUCAGCUCGUGUCGUGAGAUGUUGGGUUAAGUCGCGCAAAGAGCGCAACCCUUGUCUUUAGUUGCCAUCAUUAAGUUGGGCACUCUAGAGAGACUGCCAGGGAUAACCUGGAGGAAGGUGGGGAUGACGUAAAAUCAUCAUGCCCCUUAUGCUUAGGGCUACACACGUGCUACAAUGGGUAGUACAGAGGGUUGCCAAGCCGUAAGGCGGAGCUAAUCCCUUAAAGCUACUCUCAGUUCGGAUUGUAGGCUGAAACUCGCCUACAUGAAGCUGGAGUUACUAGUAAUCGCAGAUCAGAAUGCUGCGGUGAAUGCGUUCCCGGGUCUUGUACACACCGCCCGUCACACCACGGGAGUUGGAGACGCCCGAGGCCGAUUAUGUAGCCUUUUGGCAGAAGUCGUCCAAGGUGGGAUUAAUAUCUUGUGUGAAGUCGUAACAAGGUAGCCGUAUCGGAAGAUGCUGCUGGAUCACCUCCUUUCUAAGGA